rnacentral:rRNA from 1 species
UACGUAGGUGGCAAGCGUUAUCCGGAUUUAUUGGGUGUAAAGGGCGUGUAGGCGGGAGCGCAAGUCAGAUGUGAAAACUCAGGGCUCAACCCUGAGCCUGCAUUUGAAACUGUGUUUCUUGAGUGCUGGAGAGGCAAUCGGAAUUCCGUGUGUAGCGGUGAAAUGCGUAGAUAUUAGGAGGAACACCAGUGGCGAAGGCGGCUUACUGGACUGUAACUGACGUUGAGGCUCGAAAGCGUGGGGAGCAAACAGG